AAUGAGUAAAAAUGUGUUCAAAAUCAGUUUGAACUUGGUUCUAAACUGAGCUGUGAACAGCAGAACCUUCUCAGUUGUGGACCUAUGGACUGGAUCUAUCUAUGUCUGCAUCAUGGCUCCUCAUGGAAAAGAACCAAACAGAGGAAGUGAAAAAAUUCACACAGAGUUUAUACAAAAGAGUGAACACCAGAAAAUGCCCAAAAUGACUUAUAAAUGUAUCAAACCCAAAACCUGUCCAACACAAGAUGGAGAAUUACUCAAAAUAUGUCAGAAGAGACUAAAAAUAGCUCACCAGAAUUAAUUAAAGACUGUCAAAAAAGGCCUAAGUUUGUCUAAAAUUACUCUAAAUUGUCCAAUAUGAAUUGAAAAGUAUCCAAAAGUACUUCAGAUUUGUCCAAAAUACAAACUUUCUAUUGGUCCUAAUACCUUGGUCCAAAAAUAAAGGUGGACCUACCAUAGGAUUAAAGAUUGUAGCACUGAGUUUCCACUGUGGGGCUUUUAUUUUCAGUGCAGGAAAUGCAAACUGCUAGUUUAGAGAUUCUGCAGUUCUACCUAGAACCAAAGUGAUUUCUGUCUUUUUGACUCGUCUGAUGUUUAAUUGAGGUUCCAGAGGGACGUCUACAGGUAGACCUGAUCCACCUGAGGACCUGGAGGUGAGUCUUCCUCCUCCUAAUCCCUCCUAAACCAGACGACAACCAGACCAGGAUCAGCUGCUGCCUUUUCUUUGUGCUGCUGCUGGAGCUCUGAGGAAUAAAAGCAGAAGAAAGGAGUGAUAUGUGACGGCUUUGGCUGCUUUUUUACAGCGUCGUGCACAAAAACACCACACCAGAGGGUAACCGAUGUUCAGAGGGAGAUGAUGCCACAUCUGGUCCAGCUGAUGGAAGGUCUUGAAGUUCUCUGACUGGCCUGGACUGAAGAUGGUCGUCUCACUGGAUUUAAGGUUCAGAUGCUCAGUAACAAACUCCACCAAUGAGCCAACAGGGAAGCUUUAGGUUUAUUAAAUGUUGCUAUGAAGGUUUCACUGUUUUUCUUUGUGAAUGCAAUGAGCUCCAACUGAAACUUGAAUUAGAACUUAGAA
ensembl:lncRNA